AUGUAAAUUAAAUAAUGUCGUCGUAUAAUAGCGGGAAUAGGCUCGCAAGUUUCUACCAAAUCACCGUAAUGAUUUGACUACGAUGUAAGUAAAUUUGUAU
rnacentral:ncRNA from 2 species